rnacentral:rRNA from 1 species
AUUGAACGCUGGCGGCAGGCCUAACACAUGCAAGUCGAACGGUAACAGGGGUCAGCUUGCUGAUUCGCUGACGAGUGGCGGACGGGUGAGUAAUGUCUGGGAAACUGCCUGAUGGCGGGGGAUAACUACUGGAAACGGUAGCUAAUACCGCAUAACGUCGCAAGACCAAAGAGGGGGACCUUCGGGCCUCUUGCCAUCGGAUGUGCCCAGAUGGGAUUAGCUAGUAGGUGGGGUAACGGCUCACCUAGGCGACGAUCCCUAGCUGGUCUGAGAGGAUGACCAGCCACACUGGAACUGAGACACGGUCCAGACUCCUACGGGAGGCAGCAGUGGGGAAUAUUGCACAAUGGGCGCAAGCCUGAUGGAGCCAUGCCGCGUGUAUGAAGAAGGCCUUCGGGUUGUAAAGUACUGUCAGCGGGGAGGAAGGGAGUAAAGUUAAUACCCUUGCACAUUGACGUUACCCGAAGAAGAAGCAACGGCUAACUCCGUG